CGUCUACCUCUGGUUGUGAUUCAACAAGUCCAAAAUUUCUUCUUUCCAAACGGAUCCAAUCUCUGAAAAGUACUGAUUUUUCCAAGCUUUCCCUCAUAAACGCUCUAUAAUCACCGAGUUGAAGUCUUGCUUGACUGAAACCGCUCUCCGAUACCGCUGUUAAAUCUUGAAUAUUUCAUCCUUGUAUUUCUCUUUAUUUGUCUUAAAAAGAAAAGAAUUAGAAAAUGAAACGAAAAAACAAGAGCCAAUUAGAAAUGACCAAGUUGGAAAAACAGAGACAUUGUUUGCAAAAUAGACCUGGGCAAAGGCCGAGAGAGAGAGCAUCCAUAGCUUGGAUCUCUUCCUAAAAUAGAAGCUUCACCAACGACCUCCACUGGUAGCUCCUCCCUAAACAGCCACCAAACAUCACCUUCAACAAAAACCCAGCCAUAAACACCCAAAAACCAGCAGCUGUUGAGCCCCUAAAACCACCACCAAACAGUCCUCGCAACUCAGCAAAAUCAGCCCCGAAAACCAUCCGCAAACCAGCUAAAACGUAUAGCAGCAACAUCUGCGAGAAACCAGCUGAAAAUUCCAUGAAAACCUAGCUGAAAACCAGCCAAAACUGACCUCAGAACUGCUGCAGAACGACCCUUUAAACCACCUAAAACUGUCUCUGUCUUCACCGUAAAACACCCAUCCAUUCCGGCGAAAACCAGUUGAGUAACCAAACUCUGUCGAAGAUCAGGCGAGGCUUCUAUCUCGAGGUUCCGGUGCGUAGCUUUGGCUUUCAGUCCGACGAUCGUUGCUCAGUUUGGCAUGAUUGAGUUGUAAAUUUUCAGUUUUGGUUCAUCACUAUAAAGGUCCAUCUCUAACUUUUUUUUAAAAUUAAUAUUGGUUGUUAUCCUUUUGAGUUUGAAUAAAUAUUGCGCACAUUAUGGAUAUUGUUUAAUCUUUGAGUUUUAGCUUUGUGUUUAUAUUACUACUAUCUCGACUUGGCAUGUUAAAUGGAAGCUUUGUUUGAAGGUUUUUCUAUUAAACUACAAAGGCAGUAGCUAGAAUCCGGUUCUCUUUUGUGAUCGCCUCUUUGAUAUCUUGGAUUAGCAUGUUGAAGUAUUAAUUUUAAAGUUGGGACCGUAGUUUGCUCUUAAAAAUUCUCUGUCAUUUUCUUCAAUUACAAAAGAAUUCCUAUGUCUGUUCAAUAUUUUGUUCAAGUUUUAUGCUAGUUUCCCGUUUCAUUGCUUAGUUGUAGCACUAUGGAUGGGUUGUUGGGCCAAGGUUAAUACAUGACCAGUUGGGCCUAACUAAGGGUGUCAUGUGGGUCGGUUAGGAUCGGGACCGAUCCAGGACCGCAAGCCCACAUGGGCGGUGGGCCUAAACAGUCCUAACCGGAUAGGACGGGGAUCGUGGGGAGGUGGGCCGGGUAGUGGGCUGGUCUCAUAGGCGAGGCCCGCGAGACCGGGAUCGUUUGGGAUCGGGACCGGCUGAAAAGUGGGCCGGUUCAAGCGGUCCUAUCCGGGCCCAACGGAUAUUUUUUUAAACAAAAAAUGACCGUUUGGCCAUUUAAAAUCUAGCCGUUUGGUCUGCCAAAAUAGCCAUUUAACCCCCCAAAUUUUAUUUUAACCCCAAACUUUUUAUAAUUAUAUUUUUUUCCCUAUUUUCAACUAUAAAUACUCCCUCAUUCUUUCAUUUUUCUCACAAAAUCAUCAAUCUCUCUCUAAUAUUCUUCUAUAAUUGAUUACUUAAUUGUUACAAUUUGUGCAAAAUUGUGAAGUUGAUGAAUUGAAGUCUUCAAGUCUUCAACGAUAAUUAUUUUUCAACAAGUUGUUCGUCAAUUUGGUAAACUCGUUCCAACUCUUAAGUUUUAAUAUUAUAGUUUGUUUGUUUUAUUUACUUUGCUUGAUUAAUUAAGAUGACCUAUUCCUUAAAAAAAUGUUUAGUAAAAAUAAGGAAAAAUUCAAGAGUGGUGAAUCUAGUGGCCAGUUAAAAUGAGGGGUUGUCUAAACUUCCGGACGCAAUAGCCUCAAUUAAAAUAAAUGUUUAAACUAUUUAUAAUACUUAUCACGUUGCAUUAGAUCAUGCUAGACCAAAUGUUCCUACUCCUUUUUCUUCUAGUUCUCAAUCAUCUAAAAGAAUUGCGGGAGUAAGAGCACUUAGUGCUUGGGCAGGGUUCAGGGGUUCUCAAGGUUCUAGUACUAGUGAUUUUUCACAACUAAAUGAGCUUGAAGUUUAUUUGUCACAGGGAAUUGAGGAAGUGAAUCCCGACUACUCCUUUAAUAUUUUGGAAUGGUGGAAGGACAAAAAAAAUACUUUCUGAUUCUUUCAAGGAUGGCCCGAGACAUUUUAACUAUUCAAGCUUCAACAGUGGUAUCAGAGAGCGCUUGCAGUCAAGCAAGACUUCAACUCGGUGAUUAUAGAGCGUCUAUGAGGGAGAGCUUGGAGAAAUCAGNN
rnacentral:lncRNA from 1 species